rnacentral:lncRNA from 1 species
AAAAAAGAGAUGCUUAACUUUCUCUUAGGAAUUGAUACAUUUUCUUCCUUCUGAUAAUGAGAAUCAGAUAGCUGAUUCUGUUUCUCUCUUAUCUUUGGCUUCAUGAAGUUUAAAGCCAAGUUUGAAACUUAUCUAUAGCAAUUUAAGUUAGUUUUAUGGUUCGAAUAUUUACAUUUUUCUUUUUUUCUUCCAAUAUAUUCUUGACGCAAACUGUAAAUGAUACAAGGAAGGAAAGAAGGGCAGAAGGGGAAGGACAAGGACGGAGACAGACGAGGAGAGGGAAACAACCUGAACAGUACAUGCGCAUAACAGCAUGUCUAGCAGCCCAGCCCACACAGAGGUUUCUGGCUGAGAUGCCUGUCUAAGCCAGGCCUGCCCACAGCACAGAUGGAAGAAGUGCACAUAUUAAUAAGAGUAAGCUUUUCACUGCAACUGCUCAGGACUCAUUUUAAAGAAGAGACAGAUCUCUAACAAGAUUUUGCAGGACUGGAGCCAUCCCCAAGGUGAGUGUCAGGAUGUUUUGAAACUGGGACACACUGUACAGGGGUGAACAAAGGAAUCUGCUUUUCAAUACCACACUGCCUGCUGCAACCAAAUGUCACUGCAGGGCUUAACAGUGAGUAAAUGCUGUGUGUGUAAAUGCUUCUUCUAUGUUUAAAAAACAGGAAACAAGAGGCCUUUGAGCAUAAGUUAGUAAUAAUGACUGAUGAGUUUAAUUUACCUUAAGGGAAGGGACCCAGAAAAGUUUGGCUUAUUAGACAACAUGUCUUAAGAAAAAAGGAUGCCAAAUAACAUUUUGAAUAAUGCAGUUUUUUGAAAGGUGGAAGCUCACCCCUGCCUCUGGAUGCUAUGCAUUUUGAGCAGGUGUUAGCGGCAGUAGCAAGGGUUAAAGGACAAUACUUUCCAUCUUUCAGGACCCAUAAGGGAACAUAUUAAAAUAAAAAACAAAAACAAGCCUCUCUCCUACAGCACUCUCGUUUUGGCCAUCUCCUGCUCGGCUGCCACUCUAAUUGGACUUGAAGUGCUGCCUCCAGGAAAGUGACUCAAGAACCAGCUGGAGCAGAAUGCAAAUAAGCUGGUAGGGGAGAGAGCCCAGGGAAAGAAGAUGAAACAAAAAGAAAAACAAAAUUAAGGAGGAAAGGGGAAGAGGAGAACAGAGACCAUCUGAGUAUAGUUCACACUUUUUUUUUUUAAACAAAUAAGAGGAGGUUCUAGUACAUCAUCAGGUUUUUAAUAAGCAAUCUGGAACCCCAGUAAGGGACAAAUAAGACACUAUUUACAAAUAACUUUCUUUAAGCCAAGUGUACCUGUAAAACAAAGUUAAAUGUACAGGUGCCUAAGAAUGAAGUUCAUAAAAUGUAAAAGGUAAAAAGAGCCAUAUUAAUGGUAACGUUUAAUCUCUGUUUUUAUGCUGUGGCUACUACAAGCAUAUUUUCCAAAUGAAGGCUCAUUUCUAUGGUCUAAUGGUCCCAGGAAUAUUAUUUGGAGAUGAAAAUGACUAACUGCUGCAUCAGUCAAUUUGCAAUGAAACAGGCUCUUGAAAGUUUAGGUUUGUGUUACCUGUUCCUUUUUUGAAAGUGUGUCAAGUCUGAGGGAGCACCUGACAACCACUGACUUGAUACAAGCAGUCUGUCCAGGUCCUUUCCUCCAUGUAGAAAUAAUGAAGCAAGACACACUCCCGGAUACACACAAGAAUAAAUAUUGACAUUAACAUUUAUCUUUAUAAGUGGGGAGGAUCUGGCAAAUUGCUAUGAAGAAUUCAUUUCAGUAACUAUUUGGACUAGUAAAGCUAACAGCUUUGAAAGGCUUAAAAAUGAUUUUACCCAGCCAGGUGUGGUGGCUCACGCCUGUAAUCCCAACACUUUGGGAGGCCAA